CGAGCGAACAGAUAAGGAGCUUGCUCACUUUGACGUUAGCGGCGGACGGGUGAGUAACACGUGGAUAACCUACCUAUAAGACUGGGAUAACUUCGGGAAACCGGAGCUAAUACCGGAUAACAUAUUGAACCGCAUGGUUCAAUAGUGAAAGGCGGCUUUGCUGUCACUUAUAGAUGGAUCCGCGCCGUAUUAGCUAGUUGGUAAGGUAACGGCUUACCAAGGCAACGAUACGUAGCCGACCUGAGAGGGUGAUCGGCCACACUGGAACUGAGACACGGUCCAGACUCCUACGGGAGGCAGCAGUAGGGAAUCUUCCGCAAUGGGCGAAAGCCUGACGGAGCAACGCCGCGUGAGUGAUGAAGGUCUUCGGAUCGUAAAACUCUGUUAUCAGGGAAGAACAAAUGUGUAAGUAACUGUGCACAUCUUGACGGUACCUGAUCAGAAAGCCACGGCUAACUACGUGCCAGCAGCCGCGGUAAUACGUAGGUGGCAAGCGUUAUCCGGAAUUAUUGGGCGUAAAGCGCGCGUAGGCGGUUUUUUAAGUCUGAUGUGAAAGCCCACGGCUCAACCGUGGAGGGUCAUUGGAAACUGGAAAACUUGAGUGCAGAAGAGGAAAGUGGAAUUCCAUGUGUAGCGGUGAAAUGCGCAGAGAUAUGGAGGAACACCAGUGGCGAAGGCGACUUUCUGGUCUGUAACUGACGCUGAUGUGCGAAAGCGUGGGGAUCAAACAG
rnacentral:rRNA from 1 species